GGUACAUCGAUGAAAAGUUGCAUUGACAGGUCCCGUUCCAAAUCAUAGAUAUAUUUCUGGUCAUAAUACUUUCAGUUGUGAGGUAUGUAACCCUUUUAAAAGCUAUCAAAUGAAAUUAAGAAGAAGUGGAAGCUCAUGUUUUCUUAUAAAUGAGCCUGGCCAGCACUUCUUCUUCUUCUUUCUUUACACAUCUUUUCAUACCACCGGGAUAAUGGGAAGGGGGAUAUUUAAAACUGCUGCGUGCAGGGGAAGUGCUGUCCAAAUUUUUUAGGGGUCCUCAAAGGUAGGACAAGAAUCUGGUUUUAAAUGUAAAUAGCACCAUAAUUUUC
rnacentral:lncRNA from 1 species